rnacentral:tRNA from 1 species
GGCCUAGCUCAGUUGGUUAGAGCACCUGACUCCUAAUCAGGUGGUCCCUGGUUUCGAAGCCAGGUGGGCCA